UCUUUUGUGUUUCUUUCCUUUUUUUUUUCAGCCAAACGAAUAAUUACUGUAAUUUUAAAGCAAUGUCAAACACAGGUAUAAUAACAUCUCAAGCUAAACCUCAGCAACUUCUACAAGUUGUUUCUGUUCUAUAAUAACAUAAUCAUCGGUUUGUCAUGGAACAAUCAACUGUGUGAAUAUACAACAUAAAGAUGUUGUCCAAGUCCCAGAAUUUGCGAAAUACCAGUUUUACCAGGAUGAUUGUGGCUGCCAAUGCUCUGUGAACAGGGAUAAAAGGGAAACUCAGGCAUGGUACUGAACAAUAAUGGCCUCAAACAAAGUCAAGCAGAGGAUCAUGAUUCUUCAAGGAUAGCACGUCCAAGAUUUGUGGCAAGAGCUAGUCUAACAGAGCUCAAGGCCUGGGGUGGCAAGUCAGCUUCAAUGAAGUCUGGGUGCAGCCUUGCCAUCGACAACUCUUGCAGUUUAUUCAACAAGAGGUUUGUUUGAGACACAUUCAAUAAAGGUCGCUCCUGCCAGUUUAGCAGUUUCAACGAAUCAUAAAGAAUUGGCAGCCAGAAACGUUGAGGUGUAGAAGUGUUUUUCAUAAGCGACAUUAGUGAUUCCACAGCUUGCUGAGUAGCAUCAGUAAUUUUUCCAUCAUUAACCUGCUUAAGAGACCUCUUAAAAUCCCUAUACUUGUGCAGGAACUCAAGACCCCCAGAAGGCUUGGAUUCUGAACCCAGCAAUUCAAUUAAACCUUCCCAUUGCUUGAAACUUUCAUCGGAGAUUGACUUUCCAACAGAAUUAAACAGCUGCUGAGCAAUUCUGUUAAGACAAACUUCAUCCCGAGCUUGUUGAAGCCAAAAAACGCCAUAACCUUUCCUACCAUGUUUCCAAUGGUAUACUCCAGCAAUCUUCAUAAUGUUUGAGCUGACACUGUCAAGUUCAUAAAGACGGCAAAUCUCCAAAUUCUUAACCAGUAAUUGAUUAUGUUGAACAGGCUGCCUGUACAAUAAAAUCUCCAAUAAUCCCAUUCCCUGCUUCAUACAAGACAUCAAAUAAAUUGGAGCAAUUUGCCAAGUCAAGAUAUGAGAAGAUAGAACUUGAGCAUAAAUAAGUCGAUGGAGCUCCUCUAUGUUGAUUCCCCCCAAGUUAUCACGCUCCUCAUGUAAAAGAACUUCUGCUUGAUCACUCCCAGCAGUCAAAAACUCUAUGGCAUGAGCUGCCAUCCAAGUGCCAAAAUCUCUUGAGCAUUCUGCUAAUAUAACCUCUGUAUUUUCCCCAAGAAUUCCUACAAUAAGCCGCAUCAACUUAUGUGGAAUGGUCAUUGGUUUCAACUGAAUGCAUUUCUGAGCUAGGCUGUACAUGCUUUCUAAACCAACAGUGAAUGGCCUUAUGUACAGAAUGUGAGAUAUAUACAGCUCCAUCCAAUUACAGGUUGCAGUUGAGAGAAUGCUAGCAUUUCCCAACAUGAUCUGAAGCAUAUUUUUCAAGCCCUCUCGAGUCUGAAGGUGAUCACACUGAAGCCAGAAUGCACUGGACUCCAACUUAGUUACUUGUGCUCGCCAUCUCUCCCAUGCCUUCAUAAAAUCAGGCUUGGUUUUAAAGCAUUCACCCAAUUUUCCAGCUCCUAAUUCUGGACGCAAGCGUGGCAUCUUUNNNNNNNAAAAAAAAUGCCACACCAGCCUCUACAAGGCCAUUCUCCGUCUCUCUACUGCCAAGCUGAUCCAGUUGAUAAGAUCCAUGCAAUCGCAACAUUUUCACGGC
rnacentral:misc_RNA from 1 species